GGAAAUUCAACGGAUGUCACGCCCUUUUCGUAAUAGAUCAUGUUAAAAAGCAUGUGACUUUUAUCGACUUUACACCGACUCAAGAUUGGUGUAAACACAUGCCAUACAAGAGGUUUGCGGAAGCGAUUAUCAUGGCCUCAAAGAAAUAUAAGAUUGCUUACAGCAAAAAACGUUCUGGAUGGGCGGAGGAUAUCUUUAAGUGGGAACAUACAAUUCAGACUGGUGUUCCAAUUGACUUAAGAGGGUUUAAUACCAGCUACCUCGUUCUACAAGCUAUGGCCAUGUGGGGGAAUGACAGACGAAUGAAAUUUGUUGGGG
rnacentral:misc_RNA from 1 species